GUCAACGUGGUGUAGUGGAUUGCACGUUUGACUGAGACUCGAGAGACCAGGGUUCAAAUCCCCACUAAGCCA